GACGAACGCUGGCGGCGUGCUUAACACAUGCAAGUCGAACGAAGAGCGAUGGAAGCUUGCUUCUCUCAAUCUUAGUGGCGAACGGGUGAGUAACGCGUAAUCAACCUGCCCUUCAGAGGGGGACAACAGUUGGAAACGACUGCUAAUACCGCAUACGAUCUAACCUCGGCAUCGAGGAUGGAUGAAAGGUGGCCUCUAUUUAUAAGCUAUCACUGAAGGAGGGGAUUGCGUCUGAUUAGCUAGUUGGAGGGGUAACGGCCCACCAAGGCGAUGAUCAGUAGCCGGUCUGAGAGGAUGAACGGCCACAUUGGGACUGAGACACGGCCCAGACUCCUACGGGAGGCAGCAGUGGGGAAUCUUCCGCAAUGGACGAAAGUCUGACGGAGCAACGCCGCGUGAGUGAUGACGGCCGUCGGGUUGUAAAGCUCUGUUAAUCGGGACGAAAGGCCUUCUUGCGAAUAGUUAGAAGGAUUGACGGUACCGGAAUAGAAAGCCACGGCUAACUACGUA
rnacentral:rRNA from 1 species